AGUGGAUCUUCUCUUUCAUUCACACUAGAUAAGCCAAACUUGAUUGGUGUUUCUUUAUGCCUUGUUUUUGAUCCCAAAAAUCAUUAUGGUUAUCAUGUUAGGUUUAUUUGCGGAGCCCAAUUCAUUGAUAAAUCUAGACACAAAAUAAAAAUUGCCAAGUUCAGUUUUCGUUAUGCUUGGAUGACUAAUCUGUUAGAAUCAGAACAUGUGUACCUUUGGAAUGAACUGUUCGACAUGGAAGACAGUUUUGUUGAGGCCUCAUUUCACUUCUUCAUUGAACAUUUUUCACUCAAGCCACAACAUAAUUUCGAGGCUAUAAUUAAGUGUGGGGUACUUCCUAUAUUUCGAGACGAUUGUCUCUGCAGAGAUAAAAAGAGAAGCAGAAAUCAAGAAGAUGAGGAAGAAGAACCUUCUCCGCCUAAAAUUGAAACGAGACCAAACACCUUACAACAGCACUACCGCCACAGCAGAGACUCAUUAAGUGUUUAAAGAUUUCGUGUUUGGAGGCUUUUGUGUGCGACUUUUCUGCAGAAUUUGAUGCAGCUCUCAGCUUUCUAAACCUUUGGCUUUUGUUCUGCUGGCAAUUGUUUGCUGUCUUUUGUGAUGCAACUUUGGUGCUGUAUUAUUGGCGUGUUUUGUACCUUUCUUUCUAUGCUUUUUCACUUGGAAUACCAUUGUUGGGUGUAAUAGGGAAGCCUAUCGGAUUGGUUUAAUCGGCAAAGUCCAUACUAAGUAUUUUCUAGAUGUCAUUUAUCAAUAAAAUUUUGCUGAUAAAAGCAAUUGUGCUGAAUUAUAAAUUUUGAAUAAACACCA
rnacentral:misc_RNA from 1 species